GCGGGCGUAGUGUACGGUCCACAGCUGCCUCACUUGAAGUUCGUGGAGAGCACUGAGCAGCAGAUCCGGGUUCGACCCCCGGCGCCCGCA